UAUUGAUUUUCGCUUGAUCGAGCGACCAGGAUAUCUGACUGCGAUGCGCGCCUCCUUGGCCGGGCCGGGCCGGCCAGCCGGGCUGGUCGACUCGCGGCUCUAGCUAGCUACUAGACUGGACGCCAAACGGUGUCGUGAAUGCAUGCACAUUUUUGCAGGAUCGACAUGAUUGCUGUCGACGUCGAUGUCGAGGCAGCUUACUCGACGAGUUGGACGAAGGCUGUAACAAACCUGUGCAGCAUUUGAUCGUGAGGCUGUUUGAACAACCACAUACUUAGACCAGCACUUAGACCAGCUUAGCAUCAGGAUGCAUGUCAAUGUGAAGAGGCUGUGAAACUUCUCCAAAUGCAGGUAACAAACCUGUGCAGCAUUUGAUCGUGAGGCUGUUUGAACAACCACAUACUUAGACCAGCACUUAGACCAGCUUAGCAUCAGGAUGCAUGUCAAUGUGAAGAGGCUGUGAAACCUCUCCAAAUGCAGGUACCAUACCUGUACAGCAUUUGAUCGAGAGGCAGUUUGAACAACCACAUACUAGACCAGG